UUACUUGUUACAGAACUUGUAAUGUAUUGUUGAUAACAAUAACGUAUUUAUGCUAAUGGGAAAAACAAAGAAGAGUCGUUGGAAUCCGAAGCGCAUUGAUAAUGAACGGCUAUUUACGUAUUUAUUAAUAUUUAUCGAGAUAAAAAUCUGAGGAACAAGUUUCGACGCUUAUGUGGUUUUGAUACGUUGCAACUUCGUCGAUUAGUUGGCAAAAGCUGGCUUUGUUUCGAGGAUAAAUUUCUGUAUUCCUUACACCAUUGCCAUGUUGGCAACAUAAGUAGAUUCCCCCGCCUAAGUCUUUAGGCAUUUUUCGUACCAACGAUCGGGGAACUUUGAUGUUUUAUUGUAAUAUAUAGACAUUUAAUGCCUUGUUUGUUUUAACGAUGUCAUGCCUGGUCAAUUAAGCUGAUAAGAAAGGCGAAUAUUUCGCCCUACAAGGAUGGACAACAUUCUUCGAUAAUCUCGUGAAAGUGACUAUCGCAUCAGCUGACAAUGAUGUUUGACAGUGCUCACCUUUCGGAUACGGGUCGUCGAAAUCAAUAGCACUUUCGAUAUCAAAGUCGUCGGUAAGCAGGGCCGAUAAAUCGUAACCCAGAUCGAUACCGGAUUCGGCCAUUAUUUAUACGCGUGUGGCGCACAAAUCGAUCGUGAAUUAGUACCCAGCUUUGCUUCUAUCGUAGUGCCAUCGUUUUAUUUCGAAAAACCGCACGUCGAGAGCCCGAUAACGGGACGGACUUGCGCCGGCUUAACUAAGCCGACUCAACAGCACGAAACCAACUGAUUUUUUGCCAACAACAAUGUCACGGACAAAGUCGGUUUAGGCGAGCGCGUUGCUCGAGCUCAAUUUAACAACCACUACGGUUCACUUUGGUGGGAAACGUUCAAUUUCGUUUGGCGUCAUUUGCUUAUCAAGACGAAGCUGGUAUCAACGACGACCAACGUCCGUUUUGAGCAAACAGAUGCGACUGCAAAGACUUCUACACCAUAAUCGAACUGGGUCUGAGCUACGUUCCAAACCUGCGUCUGAGGGUGCUUGAGGGUGCUUUCUUGCUAACAUAACUUCCUCUUUUAGUUUUUUCUGGAGUAACCCAGUUCCAGAUUUCUUUUGUUCCAUUCUCUGGAGAUGUCCGUACCAAGUGAGAAUGGAGCCACUGAUACCCGUUUGCUCUUUUAUCUACUCGUUUCUUAAGAUGAAGCACUAUUGAUGAUCGUUCUUUGUUCCGUGUUCCUGUUAACCCCCAUAUUUAUGAUUCUCCAUUUAAGUCAUCGGUGGAGUAACUUUAAGACGGGCCAUUUGUAAUAACUAGACGAUCGUAGCGGGCCA